GUUUGAUCCUGGCUCAGAAUCAACGCUGGCGGCGUGCCUAACACAUGCAAGUCGCACGAGAAAGGGUAGCAAUACCUAAGUAAAGCGGCGCACGGGUGAGUAACACGUGAAUGAUCUACCUCCGAGUGGGGAAUAACUGAGAGAAAUCUUAGCUAAUACCGCAUAACACUUACGAGUCAAAGCAGCAAUGCGCUUGGAGAGGAGUUCGCGGCAGAUUAGUUAGUUGGCGGGGUAAUGGCCCACCAAGACGAUGAUCUGUAUCCGGCCUGAGAGGGCGCACGGACACACUGGAACUGAAACACGGUCCAGACUCCUACGGGAGGCAGCAGUGGGGAAUUUUGCGCAAUGGGGGAAACCCUGACGCAGCAACGCCGCGUGGAGGAUGAAGUAUCUCGGUACGUAAACUCCUUUCGAUGGGGAAGAUUAUGACGGUACCCAUAGAAGAAGCCCCGGCUAACUUCGUGCCAGCAGCCGCGGUAAUACGAGGGGGGCAAGCGUUGUUCGGAUUUAUUGGGCGUAAAGGGUGCGUAGGCGGUUUGGCAAGUCUUGUGUGAAAUCUAUGGGCUCAACCCAUAGCCUGCACGAGAAACUACCGGGCUUGAGUGAUGGAGAGGUGAGUGGAAUUUCCGGUGUAGCGGUGAAAUGCGUAGAUAUCGGAAGGAACACCUGUGGCGAAAGCGGCUCACUGGACAUUAACUGACGCUGAUGCACGAAAGCUAGGGGAGCAAACAGGAUUAGAUACCCUGGUAGUCCUAGCCCUAAACGAUGAUCGCUUGGUGUGACAGGUACCCAAUCCUGUCGUGCCGAAGCUAACGCGAUAAGCGAUCCGCCUGGGGAGUACGGUCGCAAGACUGAAACUCAAGGAAUUGACGGGGGCCCGCACAAGCGGUGGAGCAUGUGGUUUAAUUCGACGCAACGCGAAGAACCUUACCUGGGCUCGAAAUGUACCGGAAUCCGGCAGGACGUCGGCGCCUAGCAUAGGCCGGUAUAUAGUGCUGCAUGGCUGUCGUCAGCUCGUGUCGUGAGAUGUGGGUAGUCCCGCAACGAGCGCACCCUUAUCUUCAGUUGCUACCAUUUAGUGAGCACCCCUGACGAAACCGCCUCCGGAUACGGA
rnacentral:rRNA from 1 species